AACGCACCUUGCACCCUUUGGUAUUCCGAAGGGUACACCCGUUUGAGUGUCAUUGUAAUCUCACCCAAAGGAUUUAUUCUUUGGUGUGGACUUGGACGUUGCCGUGUUCGGCUCGUCUGGAAUGUCUCAGUGUGACCCGCUCGUCGGCGUAUACAGUGUGAUAGGUAUCUUCACUGGUAAGCUUCUUUGGAGGCGCGCUCUCAGGUGGAUGUUGUGCUGCCAACCGUCUUUUAGACAAACUCUGACAAUUUGACCUCAAAUCGGGUGGGAUUACCCGCUGAACUUAA
rnacentral:misc_RNA from 1 species